rnacentral:lncRNA from 1 species
AUGCUAUCACCAAAGAAGUGUUUUCCAUUCCUCAUACUGGUACUUUCUCUCCUUCAAAGAAGAAAGAUUAAUAUACGAAACUGUGAAAAUCAGUACUACGUCCCCAUGCAAAUUCCUUUGGAAUUAGGACUUGGACACGCAAUUUCACAAACUGGCAACUUGAAUCUGAUGAAGCUACCUGAAGUUUCUUCUCCUGGCCUCCUGGAAUUUUGUUGGCAUGGAGAAAUAGCAAAUGAGAUAGGGAGGAAUGAUAGGAAUCAACUGCACCAAUUUUAUCUUUCAAGAAAGAAGAAAAAGGGAAGAGAUGCAGAUAGAACAUACUACACUCUGACACUCUGUUGUCACAAUGAAUUCUCAACUUUUCCUGUAGGGUGUUGUAAGCACUUUUACCCGAAUGCCAUGCUAUUUUACAUGGAGGGGACUGCCAUCAGUUACCACAGCAGUGUAUUACAGCCAAAUGGGUCUGACAAUAUAAAGGAGAUUUGCAUUAAUAUUUCAUCUGAUGUCUUAAUCGGCUGUUGAUAAAUAUAAAUAUUUGACCCUGGAAGUCUUCGGUUGCAUCAUGUCAAAAUCUUCCUGUUUCUAGGAUUUUGUUGUUCAGCUUCAUGGGAUUUUUAGUUAAUGAUCUCAGUGUGGAAAUUCUUCUUCUGCAGCAUGUAUGAAAUAAAUGAUAUUGUUCUCAUUUGGACUCUGCA